UGGCAUGGAGAGCCUGGCACACAGCAGGGGACUCUUUUCUCGUUUCUCCCCGAUAGCCUAGGGUUCAUUUCAAGUCCACCCGCAGCAUGUGGCCCUGCUUGAGUUCUUUCAGCAGAGACUCUGGGUAGUCAGAGCACCUAGCACCCAUGUCCACAGCCUACUGAUGGGGUCUCUGAGAAGCCAGGUGGGGGGCACGUCUCAUCUGGGCAGGAUGAGGGCUGUGGGCAGUGUAUCCCUGUCUCUCAGACACAGGGACCCUGUCCUUGCUUGACCACACUGUCUGUGGUUGGUCUCAGGGCAUUCUUCCAGGCUGUCAGGGAGGGAGAGGCAGGAGGCAGAUGGUGAAGGGCAGGUGUGUAAACACCACACCUGGUGUUGAGUCCCGGCUCAAACAUUAUUUGUGGGAUAACUGUGGGCAAAUUAGUUAAUGUCUGUCUCUAGGUUUCAAAUUUUGGGGUUUGGGGAUCGUGUGUGUGUGUGUGUGACUGUGUUCAUGUGCGCAUACAUAUGUGUCAGGGAGGGCAUGCACAUAGACCUGUGGAGGUCAGAGGGCAACAUUGUGAUGUCUUCCUCAAUCACUCUCCACCUCUUUUUUGAGACAGUGUCUCUCACUGACGCCCAAACUUACCAGCUGGGUUAGAUUGGCUGCCCAAGGAGUCCCCCCCCAUCUCCUGUCUCUGCUCAUGCCAUGGUGAGGUCACAGACACUUGGAGCCACACCUCUUUUUACUUGGGCGCUGGGGCUCUGGACUCAGAUCCACAUGAUUGUGCACCAGGCACUUUACCCUGAGCGUCUCCCCAGCCCUGGUUCCUACUUCUUUAUUGAUAGUAUACGGCCUGAGAUUUCUGUACAGGAAGGGAAGAUGUUGAGUGGAGCUGCAGUGGAGACCAUGACAUCAGCUCAGAGUCCUUGUAGAUGGCAGAGGUUGUAAAUCACAAUGGCAAUAAGAAGAGAAGCAGUCUCUCUGAGGACAAACAGGGAUGCAGGCGAAGCACCUAAGAGAGAGACGUUCAUUCUCGCUAGAGACAGCUAGACGCCUGAUCUAGCUAAGGAGCUCCACCAUGGUCAUGAGGAAAAGCCGGAAGAGCAGAAGUUUUGGUGCUGGUUUUCAUAGACUCUUUAUCAAGUCAGGAAGCCAAAGGUACUGUCAGUUUCCACACAGGAGUCUUGAGAUUCGAAAAAUUAAAUCUGGAAUAAUA